rnacentral:rRNA from 1 species
UCCAGCUCUGGGAGGUAGUGACGAAAAAUAACAAUGCGGGACUCUUCCGAGUCUGCGUAAUUGGAAUGAGCACACUUUAAAUCCUUUAGCCACAACCAAUUGGAGGGCAAGUCUGGUGCCAGCAGCCGCGGUAAUUCCAGCUCCAAUAGCGUAUAUUAAAGUUGUUGCGGUUAAAAAGCUCGUAGUUCGAGUUCAGUUCCGGACUGGCUGGGGAGGUCACCGCCCGGUGCUUCCCCGUCAGGCUCCGAACAGCUUUUAUGACUAAAAGCCAAGUCGGUUUCGCCGGGGUGCUCUUCACCGAGUGUCCCGCGCGGCCGGCCAGUUUACCUUGAAUAAAUGAGAGUGCUCAAAGCAGGCUACUCUUAAAAAUAAAGCCCGAAUGUUACCUGCAUGGAAUGAUGGAAGAUGAAUCUCGGUUCCAUUUUAUUGGCUGUGGGAAUCCGAGUUAAUGAUAAACAGGGACGGUCGGGGGCAUCCGUACUACGACGCGAGAGGUGAAAUUCAGUGACCGUCGUAGGACGAACAACAGCGAAAGCAUUUGCCAAGAAUGUCUUCGUUGAUCAAGAACGAAAGUUAGAGGAUCGAAGGCGAUCAGAUACCGCCCUAGUUCUAACCCUAAACGAUGCUGACUAGCAAUCCGCCGUCGUUAUUCCCAUGACGUGGCGGGACGCCCCCGGGAAACCAUAAGUCUUUGAGUUCCGGGGGUAGUAUGGUUGCAAAACUGAAACUUAAAGGAAUUGACGGAAGGGCACCACCAGGAGUGGAGCCUGCGGCUUAAUUUGACUCAACACGGGAAACCUCACCAGGCCCGGACACCAGAAGGAUUGACAGAUUAAGAGCUCUUUCUUGAUUUGGUGGGUGGUGGUGCAUGGCCGUUCUUAGUUGGUGGAGUGAUUUGUCUGGUUAAUUCCGGUAACGAACGAGACUCUGGCCUACUAAAUAGUCGACGGGUGUUUUGGUGCAUGGGCCCCGUUCGACAAUGUCUUCUUAGAGGGAUGAGCAGCGAGUAUAGCUGCAGGAGAUUGAGCAAUAACAGGUCUGUGAUGCCCUUAGAUGUCCUGGGCCGCACGCGCGCUACACUGAAUGGGUUAGCGGGUUCUCCUUCUCCGAGAGGAGCGGGAAAUCGCGUGAAAACCAUUCGUGAUAGGGAUUGGGGCUUGCAAUUGUUUCCCAUGAACGAGGAAUUCCCAGUAAGCGCAAGUCAUCAGCUUGCGUUGAUUAAGUCCCUGCCCUUUGUACACACCGCCCGUCGCUACUACCGAUUGAAUGAUUUAGUGAGGCCUUCGGACUGGCGGUCUUGGACUGGGUUCCAUUCGCUAUCUAACUCCAGCAAUGGGGGGCGGUGGACUCGCCAUGACGAGAACGG